UCAAAUUCUUUUAGAGAACACAGAAAUGUCAGGCCACUUUUAACUGUAUGGAGGAGGGGGGGUCACAGGCACAGCAUACCCACCUGAUGGACUCCUUUCAGCAUGACAUGCAUUCAAUUGCUGGCCUGGGAUCAUUUUCAAAGUUACCUCAGAAGAGACAUGAAGUGGAAAGGGGCUGAAAUGAGCCUGGAUAGUUGAUUGGAAACCAGAUGAGGUUUCAGAAUGUAUUGGAUUUGAUGCCUGGUUUGAAGAAGUGCAAUGGUCUGGAAGAGUAAGCAUGGUCUGUAGCCGAGCUUCUCCAUCCAUAGGAACAGAGGUUGUCAUAUUCAUAUGCUUAGAUCCAAUUUCUUCAUCGAAUCCCAUUCUCACCUGAGAGAGUUGUGAUGGCUGCAGUACACCAGGUAAAAACAUUGGAUGCAAACUUGUUCCAUUUCUCAUUGAUAGCAUCUGGAACAUGAAACAUCAUCGAGGCAAAUCAGAAAUAAACUCAGUUUCACCUUCA